rnacentral:rRNA from 1 species
UGGUACCUUGACGGUACCUAACCAGAAAGCCACGGCUAACUACGUGCCAGCAGCCGCGGUAAUACGUAGGUGGCCAGCGUUGUCCGGAAUUAUUGGGCGUAAAGCGCGCGCAGGCGGUUUCUUAAGUCUGAUGUGAAAGCCCACGGCUCAACCGUGGAGGGUCAUUGGAAACGGGGAACUUGAGUGCAGAAGAGAAAAGCGGAAUUCCACGUGUAGCGGUGA